GAUGAACGCUGGCGGCGUGCUUAACACAUGCAAGUCGAACGGUGAAGGCGGAGCUUGCUCUGCUGGAUCAGUGGCGAACGGGUGAGUAACACGUGAGCAAUCUGCCCCUGACUCUGGGAUAAGCGCUGGAAACGGCGUCUAAUACUGGAUACGAGCUGCGAAGGCAUCUUCAGCAGCUGGAAAGAACUUCGGUCAGGGAUGAGCUCGCGGCCUAUCAGCUUGUUGGUGAGGUAACGGCUCACCAAGGCGUCGACGGGUAGCCGGCCUGAGAGGGUGACCGGCCACACGGGGACUGAGACACGGCCCAGACUCCUACGGGAGGCAGCAGUGGGGAAUAUUGCACAAUGGGCGAAAGCCUGAUGCAGCAACGCCGCGUGAGGGACGACGGCCUUCGUGUUGUAAACCUCUUUUAGCAGGGAAGAAGCGAAAGUGACGGUACCUGCAGAAAAAGCGCCGGCUAACUACGUG
rnacentral:rRNA from 1 species